CUAUUGGCUUUCUUAAAAGCCACAGAUAGAUACCACGCACUAUAG
rfam:Strongylocentrotus purpuratus Contig125736_fixed, whole genome shotgun sequence.